UAAAGCCCCUAAAACAAAAAGUUGAAUUUCGUCCUUUAUAUUUUGAGCAUUCAAAGUUCUUAUGUACGGCAUCCCAGAAAUACGAACAUUUAAACCUGUUUCCUUUUCAAAUUCUUCUAUUGUCGGUUUUAGAUAUUGGAAAAUAAAUUCUCUACGCUCUAGAGUAUUUAUAAUUUCUUUUUUAAUAUAAAUAGCAGUUUGUAAUGUUCCUGUUUUUUUAUUAAAUAAUAAAUUAUCAUAGAAAGGGAGCUUUUCAAAAAGUUGCUUUUUAAUUGCUAAAACUUCUUCUUUGGUUGUUGGUUCUUUCUCGUACAAAGGCUCUAAAACAAAUCUUCUUUUUUUGGUAUCUUUUUUUAAUUUCUUUAUAUCAGCUAUAGAAAUUGUAAAAUCUAUUUCAUC
rnacentral:rRNA from 1 species